CCGAUGAAUGGCGAUACGAAGGUCGCGCCUGCUUUUGCUGCGAGCAGAGCCUGAUUGGCCGAGAAGCAGAGCGUCACGUUGGUCUUGUGACCAUCGGA
rnacentral:tRNA from 2 species